UACCAGCACCCCGAGUGGUCGGGACGUUUUAUUGGGCCUAAAGCAUCCGUAGCCGGUUCUACAAGUCUUCCGUUAAAUCCAACUGCUUAACAGGUGGGCUGCGGAAGAUACUAUAGAGCUAGGAGGCGGGAGAGGCAAGCGGUACUCGAUGGGUAGGGGUAAAAUCCUUUGAUCCAUUGAAGACCACCAGUGGCGAAGGCGGCUUGCCAGAACGCACUCGACGGUGAGGGAUGAAAGCUGGGGGAGCAAACCGG
rnacentral:rRNA from 1 species